UACGGAGGGAGCUAGCGUUGUUCGGAAUUACUGGGCGUAAAGGGUGCGUAGGCGGGUCUUUUAAGUCAGGGGUGAAAUCCUGGAGCUCAACUCCAGAACUGCCUUUGAUACUGAAGAUCUUGAGUCCGGGAGAGGUGAGUGGAACUGCGAGUGUAGAGGUGAAAUUCGUAGAUAUUCGCAAGAACACCAGUGGCGAAGGCGGCUCACUGGCCCGGUACUGACGCUGAGGCACGAAAGCGUGGGGAGCAAACAGGG
rnacentral:rRNA from 1 species